AGAGUUUGAUCCUGGCUCAGAACGAACGCUGGCGGCGUGCUUAACACAUGCAAGUCGAACGCGAAAGGGGUUUCGGCCCUGAGUAGAGUGGCGCACGGGUGAGUAACGCGUAAGUGAUCUACCCCUGUAUCUGGAAUAACUAUGGGAAACUGUAGCUAAUACCGGAUAUGUUCUUGUAGUUGCGAUUAUGAGAAGAAAGAUGGCCUCUGACUUAAGCUAUUGUACAGGGAGGAGCUUGCGUACCAUUAGCUAGUUGGUAGGGUAAUGGCCUACCAAGGCGACGAUGGUUAGCGGGUCUGAGAGGAUGAUCCGCCACACUGGAACUGAAACACGGACCAGACUCCUACGGGAGGCAGCAGUGAGGAAUAUUGCGCAAUGGGGGCAACCCUGACGCAGCGACGCCGCGUGGAUGAUGAAGGCCUUCGGGUCGUAAAAUCCUGUCGGAUGGAAAGAAGUGUGAUGCGGUUAAUACCCGUGUCAUUUGACGGUACCAUCAAAGGAAGCACCGGCUAACUCCGUGCCAGCAGCCGCGGUAAUACGGAGGGUGCAAGCGUUGUUCGGAAUUACUGGGCGUAAAGCGCGCGUAGGCGGUUUGUUAAGUCAGAUGUGAAAGCCCUGGGCUUAACCUGGGAAGUGCAUUUGAAACUGUCAGACUUGAGUAUUGGAGGGGGUGGUGGAAUUCCCGGUGUAGAGGUGAAAUUCGUAGAUAUCGGGAGGAAUACCGGUGGCGAAGGCGACCACCUGGCCAAAUACUGACGCUGAGGUGCGAAGGCGUGGGGAGCAAACAGGAUUAAAAUACCCUGGUAGUCCAC
rnacentral:rRNA from 1 species